GCGUGCUUCGGCGAGAGUAGUACUAGGAUGGGUGACCUCCUGGGAAGUCCUCGUGUUGCACUUC
rnacentral:rRNA from 1 species